CAGAGGAUGGAGUUAACGACUGGACGGUUUAUUAACCCAAUUUAACACAGGCUACUGUUUGGCCGUAGCCCACGCCAAACCAACCGUGAACUUCUCUUGUGAAGCCCAGACGUAAGAGAGAGAACAAUGGCUAAACCCGGUCUUAACUUCCAAUGCUCCAUCCCCCUGCCCAACCCCCCUCCACCAACCACCAGGCUACCCGGUAUCAGAACAUUCCAGGCAUUCCCGUGAUUGGCAGAUAGCAGGUUGAUUGGCAUGACCCCGCGAACACUGGCACAGCAGGCAACGGAUUGCACACAGCAGAGCUGGGGACAGAUAGGCAGGGACAGACUGGCAGAGACAGGGAGUCUCAGGAGACAGACUGUGAGUCAGUGAGGGUGGUGAAAGGGAAAGAGCCAGGGAGAGAGACUUCAGAUGACAGUGUCACAGCCAGGGCAAGGACCAGCUGUCAACCUUGUUGCCAGCAGCACCAGUAUAGGGGACAGUGGCACAGCAUUGUCCAGUUAUGCUUUUGUGCCAUCACUGAGGUAUCACCCACAAUUUAUAGAACCGCAAACUCUUGUCAACGGAGUGUUGAUGUUUCAAGAAAAAUGGUUUCGCCUGGCUACAUUUCCGCUGGCUACAUUAUAAUCCAUCAAGAAAAGGAGUGUUGUGUUUUCACUGUAGCCAAGGGUUUUCAAGCCAGCCAUCUUUUGGCCAAAGAGCAGAUGCUGCCUUCAUUAGUGCGGCAUGUAGCAAGACAGAGACAAGCCUUUAGAGGCCACAUGAAUGACAGUGGGAAUUUAUACCAGCUUUUGAAACGUAGGGCAGAAGAGGAUGAUCCCAUUUUACUGAAGUGGUUAACAGAGUGUACCACAAUGUACACAGGCCCCAAAGCACAGAAUCAAAUCAAAUUUUAUUUGUCACAUACACAUGGUUAGCAGAUGUUAAUGCGAGUGUAGCGAAAUGCGUGUGCUUCUAGUUCCGACCAUGCAGUAAUAUCUAACAAGUAAUCUAACCUAACAAUUUCACAACAACUACCUUAUACACACAAGUUUAAAGGAAUGAAUAAAAUAUAUGAAUGAGCGAUGGCCGAACGGCAUAGGCAAGAUGCAGUAGAUGGUAUAGAGUACAGUAUAUACAUAUGAGAUGAGCAAUAUAGGUUACGUAAACAUUAUAUAGAGUGGCAUUGUUUAAAGUGACUAGUGAUACAUUUAUUACAUACAUUUUUUCAUUAUUAAAGUGGCUAGAGAUGAGUCAGUAUGUUGGCAGCAGCCACUCAAUGUUAGUGAUGGCUGUUUAACAGUCUGAUGGCCUUGAGAUAGAAGCUGUUUUUCAGUCUCACGGUUCCAGCUUUGAUGCACCUGUACUGACCUCGCCUUCUGGAUGAUAGCAGCGUGAACAGGCAGUGGCUCGGGUGGUUGUUGUCCUUGAUGAUCUUUUUGGCCUUCCUGUGACAUUGGUUGCUGUAGGUGUCCUGGAGGGCAGUUAGUUUGCCCUUGGUGAUGCGUUGUGCAGACCUCACUACCCUCUGGAGAGCCUUACGGUUGUGGGCGGAGCAGUUGCCGUACCAGGCGGUGAUACAGCCCAAAUGGAUGCUCUCGAUUGUGCAUCCAUAAAAGUUUGUGAGUGUUUUUGGUGACGAGCCGAAUUUCUUCAGCCUCCUGAGGUUGAAGAGGCGCUGCUGCGCCUUCUUCACCACGCUGUCUGUGUGGGUGGACCAUUUCAGUUUGUCCGUGAUGUGUACGCCAAGGAACUUAAAACUUUCCACCUUCUCCACUACUGUCCCGUCGAUGUGGAUAGGGGGCUGCUCCCUCUGCUGUUUCCUGAUGUCCACGAUCAUCUCCUUUGUUUUGUUGACAUUGAGUGUGAGGUUAUUUUCCUGACACCACACUCCGAGGGCCCUCACCUCCUCCCUGUAGGCUGUCUCGUUGUUGUUGGUAAUCAAGC
rnacentral:lncRNA from 1 species